rnacentral:snoRNA from 1 species
GUCCCAGCAAGCUGGGAGGAUUGCUUGAGCUCUGGUGGUCGAGGCUGCAGUGAGCUAUGACUGCACUACUGCACUCCACCCUGGGUGACAGAGCAAGACCCUGUCUCUCACAAAAGAAAAAAGUACAGUCUAUACCUGCAUAUUCCUACAGUUUCUUAGAGUCUUUUGGACAAUGACUGGGGAGACAAUUAUGCAAGAAACAUGU